rnacentral:rRNA from 1 species
CCUACGGGCGGCAGCAGUGAGGAAUAUUGGUCAAUGGCCGGAAGGCUGAACCAGCCAUGCCGCGUGAAGGUCAGUGCCCUAUGGGCGUUAAACUUCUUUUGUGCGGGAGCAAUAAUGGUCACGUGUGGCCAGACGAGAGUACCGUACGAAUAAGCAUCGGCUAACUCCGUGCCAGCAGCCGCGGUAAUACGGGGGAUGCAAGCGUUAUUCGGGUUUAUUGGGUUUAAAGGGUGCGUAGGCUGUGAGGUAAGUCAGCGGUGAAAUGCCCCCGCUCAACGGGGUGAAGUGCCAUUGAUACUGCCGUGCUGGAAUGCUGAUGCCGUGGGAGGAAUGUGGGGUGUAGCGGUGAAAUGCAUAGAUAUCACACAGAACACCGAUUGCGAAGGCAUCUCACGAAUCCGCGAUUGACGCUGAUGCACGAAAGCGUGGGUAUCAAACAGGAUUAGAUACCCUAGUAGUC